UCUUCUUGAGAAAAUGAGAUGUUAACUUAUCAAAACUAUGUUGCCUGUUAGGAAAAGGGUAAAAGGUAGUUUUCUUUUGCUAAACCUGGUUGGGUGGAUUUCUGAUCUAAGAAAAUAGGAGUCAACAAAAUUCUUAGCAAAUGUGCCACCAUUCCACCUGGCUCAAUGACCAUAUGUGAAGCUGUGGGAAAUGAACUGAUGCUAACAUACAAUGAAAUUUGAAGAAGAGCUCUUUUCUAGGUCUAGAAAUCAAAUGUAUAAUAUCUUUGUAGAAUAUUGUUUGGAUAAUGGUUUCACAGGCUGUCAUCCCAGGCAUAUGACUAUCACUCUUGAUGAAUAAGUUCCUGGGUUUAUGCUUCUUGAUCCACGCACCUGGCAAGGUGCUUACUGUUCACUUUUACUCCUGCCACUGUCCAAUGUGUGGUUUGAGUCCUAAGGGAUUUUUCCUUUUCACCUCGCCUUCCAUCACAUCAGGGACAGUGCAAAUAAAUAAAUAGGUCUACCGUGGCUUAGCAGCUUUCCUUCGGACAGUUGCUGGGCAGCUACACACACUAGGAAAGUUUCCUAAAAUAGAAUUGCAUUAUCUGAGGCCUGGAAAGGGUGUUGGAAAAGCUCACUUUGCUAUGGGGAGACUGAUGAAAGGUCUGUCUGGUUUCUGGGCAUUGUCUGGGGAGCUCAAAUUCUCUAAAUAGGCUGCCACAUGUCCAUCAUUCAGCCCUUGCUAAGGCUGUGUCCAAAUGCUGGGAAACAACUGCCUGACCACUGAAGAAUUGAACCUAGUAUUUCAUGAGAAAAUGCCAGUUAUAUGAAAUAGCAGUUGAGUUUUUAAACACCCAUCACAAUGGUUUUGAAUUAACUUAUUAUGGUUUGUUUUAUGUUGUUUGAUACAUAAUAUUUGUACAUAUUUAAGGGGUAUAAGAUGAUAACUUAAUGUAUGUGUAUAAUGUCUAAUGAUCAAAUCAAGGUAAGUAUUUUUACUACCUCAAACUUGGGUAAUUUCUAUAUGUUUGAGGCACCUGAACAACUACAAAGGAAGAAUUCUGAUGUUCUACAGCAUAAUAGGGCAACUACAGUUUACAGCAAUCUUGACAUACAUAUCACAAAGUAACUAACAGAAUAUAAAGGUUCUCAGCUUUCUGUUGAGAGAAACAUGAAGAAAAUUACAUAUAUUAUAGUGAACACAUCAAUGAAUUUUUGGAAUAUGAAUUAGAUCAUGUAGCCACACCAAAUCAAGAAAAUUUCCAGCAUCCCCAAAGUGCCCCUAUUGCUUCCUUUAUAUAGAGGGUAAUCACUAUACCAGAUUUUUUACAUACAAGGUUACUUUGGGGACCGUCACUGUGCUGUAGCGGGCUAAGCCUCCAUCUGCAGUGCUGGCAUGCCAUAUGGGCAAUGGUUCAAGUCCCAGCUGCUUCUCUUCCCAUCUAGCUCUCUGCUGCCUGGAAAAGCAGUAGAAGAUGGCCCACGUGCUUGGACCCCUACACCUGCAUGGGAGACCUAGAAGAAACUCCUGGAUCCUGACUUUGGAUUGGCUCAGCUCCAGCCACUGUGACCAUUUGUGGAAUGAACCAGCGGGUGGAAAACCUUUCUGUCUGUCUCUCCCUCUCUGUCUGUAACUCUAUCUCUCAAAUAAAUAAAUUAAAAGAAAUCUUAAAAACAAAAAGUUUAGCUCUGCCUGCUUUGUGUUUUAUACCAUACACUCUCCUGAAUCCAAAGAAGAUAUUUUCAGAAUUUGAUGACUGAUUUUGAUAUAUCAUACAAAAUUUUUUAGAUAUUCUUUACUAAAUAAAGAAGUUACCAUUUCUAGAUUUCCAUGAAUUUCCAUCAUUAAUUGAUAAUGAAUAUUGUCAGAUGUUUUCUCUUAUUCCAUUGACAAUAUUUUCUUUUCCUUCCUUUUUUCUGUUAAUACAGUGAAUUACAUUAUUUUUCUAACAUUAAAUUAACCUCUGAUACCUAUAAAAAUCUAUUGGUUAUGUUCAAUUAACCUUUUUAUAAAUUAUUUAAAUUUCUUAUAUUUUGUUAAAAUAUUUUGCAUUUGUGUUUAUGAGGAAGUAAUCUUAAGAGUGAAUUUUGUUUUAAAAUAACUAACAUUUGGACUGUUCAGUUUAUUUCUUUUGAUAGUUGUAGUAAAAAGUUUUGUGUAAUUUGCACAUUUUUUUCCAGAUUACUAAAUGCAUUGGUGUCCAGUUUUUCAUAAUGUGCUGUUAUUGUAAUUUUUAAAAAAUUUUUAUUUAUUUAUUUGAGAGGGAGAGUUACAGUGAGAGGGAGAUACAGAGAGAAAGGUCUUCCAUCCACUAGUUUACUCCCUAAAUGGCUGCAAUGGCUAGGGCUGCACCAAUACAAAGCCAGGAGCUUCUUCCAGGUUUCCUAUGUGGGCCAUCUUUUACUGCUUUCCUGGGCCAUAAGAGAGAGAGCUGGAUCGGAAGAGGAGCAGCAGAGACUAGAACCAGUGUCCAUAUGGGAUGCCAGUGCCACAGGUGGAGGAUUAACCCACUGAGCCACAGCACCAGCCCCUCUUAUUGUAAUUUGAUUUCUAUAGGAUCCGUAGUGAUGUUCUUCUUUUUAAUCCUAUUUUGAUCAUUUAUUUUGUUACUCAUUUUUACUAGAGACAUUAAUUUCAUUAAUCUUUGUAAAAAAUGUUUCAUGGUUUUUCUCUAUUGUUUAUUUGUGGUUUUUAAAUUCCAUUGAUUUUUCCCAUAUUUAUUAUUUAUUUUAUUCUGUUUAAGUUUGAUUUGAUGGACUGUACUCAUUUUUUGAGCUGUAAGUUUAAAUUAUUGGUUUCCAGACUUUAUUCAUCCCUCUCCAUUUAGAGUCAUAAAUUACCCUCUAAGAAAUACAUUCACUGAAUGUCCCAAGUUUUAAUAUUUUAUAUCUGUCAUCAUACAGUUAAAAUAUUUAAUUUCGAACUUAAUAUCUUCUUUGACACACGGAUUAUUUGUAAAUCUACUGUUUAAUUUCCUGGGAGUUCAAGUUUUUCUAAUCAGGUUUUUGUUACUGAUUUUUUUAUGCCACUGUGUUCAGAAAGCAUAUUUUAUAUAAUUUCAAUUUUUUAAUUUUGAGAUUUACUUAAUGACAUAGCAUCUACUCAAUUUUGGUAAAAUAUUUUAUGUCAUUCUUUGGUGCAAUGGUCUAUAUUUAUUCAAUGAGCCAAGCUUAUUAAUUGUGUUGUUAAUAUUUUUAUUUCAUUUUGAGCUUUUUGAUUUCUUGUUCUACCAUUAUUGACUUAACUAUGUUAAUAUGAUUAUUUAUCUAUUUUUCAUGUUAAUUUCACUAGCACUUCCAUGGAAUAUUUUAAAGAUUUGUUACGUGCAAUUCAUCUUAUGGAUAAGUGGGUUGAAUUCUUCAUUAUCAAGAAUUAUUAGAAAGUUAUUGGGUUUCCAGAAUAAAUUCUCUGCCUUUUCAUUUAAUUUGUUCAUAUUCUAAUUUGUUUAACUUUUACUUUUUAGUCUUCAUGUGCUACUUCCAAUAACAGGAACAUACGUAGAUUCAUUCCUAGUGUAAAUAUUUUAAAGUAUGUCAGAUUUUGUGUGUGAAAAAACUAUAGAGGUUCCAGAUGAUAUAACCUUCUUCCAAAGAGGGCUCUCUUGUUUCUCUGUUGUACAAGAAAGAUGAGCUGACCACUUCAGUCCAAUUGAGAACUUAGCUAAAUGGUGCUGAGUUGUAGUUUCAGAAUCAGUCUACCACUAAUCCUCUAAACAGCCCCCUAGGCUCUUGACUGAAGAUCUGAAGGUGUCUUAUUGCUUCCUCCUCAAGAGAUCAUGAGAUUCAAAGAGCUCUGUGCACUCUGCACUGUCAUGGAACCUCCAGAUGAGAGUCAAUGAGGCUGGCUGGUAUGUGAUCACCACUGCCUGUAGGAAUUCCUUGGGAAGGAGUCCUAGGGUCCACUGUCUCCCCUAAUCAGGGAUCUAAGGAGUUGAUGGCUUAAAUUUCUUUCCUUACCCACCUAGUACCAGGAGGUCAAUUACCAUAAAGAGGAGGACUGAAUCUAUGAGAAGAGCAGUUCUUGUGUUUCACAAACUGCAAAUGACUAGAGACAACUGUCUGAGCUUUACUCAGACCAGGCGGAACACUGGAAUGUCUGAAGAUGGAUUGACCUAAGUUUCAAGAGUAAAAUGAAUCUGUUUUAUCAACUGAGGUCAUAGAAAAAUUAGCCACACUAAGAUGGCGGUUGAUGGCAGUUUCUGGGGAAAAAAAAAUCUCAUUUUUUGCAACAAAGUCAUUGAGAUAUCCUAUAAAUUUGUGAUUGAAGAGGAAUAAGCCUGACUACUCAGAAUCUUAAACACUCAGAAUGUAAGGUUACAUGUUAACCAGAAUCUUAAAAUAUCACAUCAACAAUGACAUGUGUUUUAAGAGAUGACUAUUUACAGAGGGGAUGGUUGAUGGAUUACCCAGUGAACAGAACUGCUUUCCCCCAGAGGAUGUUCCCUCCCACUCCUAGAUAGAUUUGUACUAUGGUUAAACUAUAAUAGACUGCUCUGAGUGUUCAUUUGAUUUUUCUAUAUUUUUACUGAACAAAUGAAAAUAAGAAAGUCAAAUAGAUUUAAUUUAGAAAUAUCUAGGAUUGAGACACCAGUUGGGAAUUUUCACUGUAUCACUUGUCUUCAUAUCUACACAUACCCAUCAGUCAAUAUGAGUUCCAAAAGGAAUCUUGGUAAGAGUGAAGAAAAGAAAAUUAAAGUUUCUCUCUGGAUUGUGGCAAUUUACUAGCUCUGUAAAAUGCUUGGUGGGAGGAACAGCUCAAACACUGUAGUUUAGGGUUUUUUUAAUACCAAGUUGUUUAUUGAAGGAAUUAUUAUGAAUGAGGAACACGUGUCUAUGAAUAAAUAGUCUGCAUGGAACAACCACAGGAGAGGAUAUUUCAGCUGAAGUAGAAUCAUUUAAUAAGAUGAGUUGCAACUGAUGGUGGUAAAAAUAAGUGAGGGACACACUAAUAUUGUAACUAGUUGCAAAAAUUUGCACAGCUUGUGAAGAUGAAAAGCUGAAAAAUCUGUGGUUAUUCAUUGUAAUAUUAACCAUCAAGUCAUUUGUGGAAUAUAUUUGAAUCUGGUGCAUUACUGAGCCAGUAGUGUUGACAGUAAAAUUAAUUCACUGUCAUAGAUUUAAUCAUUUAUUUGAAUAUUUGUCAGAACCAGAUGAAUAUCCCAAUUUGCUCUGCCAUAUUUCAGUUCAAUAACUUUUCUGUGAUAAAGUUUAUUGCAAUCUAUUGUGUUCAGAUCAAAAUGGAAAUAUUUCUGAAUGAGAACAAUGAAUCUCUCAACUGCUGUUACUGACAUUAAAUGGCUGUAAAAUCGGUUUUUCUGUAGACUUGAUAAUGUUUGCAAUGACUUCUCCCAAGAUUACAAGGCAAAACAGUUAUAUGAAAAAACUUCAGAAUAGUAAUUUCACAACUAGAUUGAGUCACAAGUAUACUUCACUUGCUGUCAAAAAUUAAAGCAAGAAAUAAGGUCUCCAUUCCCACAGAUUUGCAACAGAUGUAUUUUAUGAGUUCAAACUGGUUCCAGCAGGUAUUUCAUACCUCAGUCUAGUUCAAAAGUGAAUAACAUGUUUCAAAAUGCCAUUGUGGAGCUUCUUCCUAAUAUUCAAUUGGCAAUGAUUAAUCUGCAGUCAUGCUAGAGCAAAUAUUAACAGAAAACCCUCUAGAAUUCUGUAAAUACUUUACAAAAUCUACUAGAAUUCUAUAAAUGCUUUACAGAUGGGGAUUAUUACUGAGGCCACUACAAAUCUAGAAUUCUAUAAAUGCUUUCGAUGGACAUGCCCCUAAUGGUGUUUGCUCAUGGAUUGAUAUCUGUAUUUGGCACAACCUAUGUAAAAGGCAUUUCACUCUUUAUUUUUAGAUUGAGUUUUAAGACAGUAUCUAUAGAUUCUUUUAUCUAAAUGUAGCCUGUCUUACCAUGAAUCAUUCAUAGUAGCAAAAAGUUAGUGGGAGACAUAGUUACAAAGAUGAAGACAUUUUGUGUACUCUAUACACAAAAUACUCUAUACACUGACUAUGUGCCAUUUCACCAAAUCUUAACGAAGAUCUUGCAAAAUUAGUUUAUUACCCCAUAUUACAGAGAAAGAAACAGAUUCAGAAAGGCAAUACAAGUUGAAUAGAGUCAGGGGGUAAAUGACAAAGUCUUUUCCAAUACUGGGUGUCCCAGUUUCAAGCCCAAUAGUUUUCCCACUGCACCAAAGCAGUCUUGAUAUUCUGACUUGGUUUCAUAUUAAUUGUACUAUUGGUCAUGGUAAGAAUAUUAAUGAAAACAAUUACAAAUGAUUUAGUAAAGGAACAAUUUUAAAAGCUUAAGUUUAUUAGAAAUGGCCAAUUUAGUUUUAUAGGGGAUAGGUCAUUCCGAAGUAAGUGACUGAAUUUUGCUAGGAUAUAGUUUCCAUAGUGACCAUGGAAAGACUGACAUUAUAUACUUGGAAUUCCACAAAAGGCUUUGGUAACAUCUCAGAGAUCAUUAGCUCAGAUCUUGGACCUUGGGUCAAAGUACCUUAUUAGAUAGAUGCCAGGCUCAAAACCAAAUAAAAGGACACAAUUUUGUAGCUGGAAAGAAGGCAGAAAUGGAACACUCCAUCAUCAGGUCCUGGUCCUGGCCUUGAAUAGCAAUGGAAAGAGAAGACAUAGAAAAUAUGGAGCCCACAGAGUCAAGAUUUAUGCAUCAGCCCUACAUCUUUAUCCAGGCAAUGUGGAAUGGAUUUCUCUCUAAUUCAUUAAAGGUAAGUCAGCAUGGAUUGAUAAAAGAAAACCCAUGUCUGAUAUAUUUGCUUAAAUUGAAUAUUUCCUGUGGGCUACUGCAAAGGUGACCUGAAGUGACCAUUAUCAAGAAUUCACCCUCACAGCCUUAAACUGAGAUCUGCUGUCUAAUGUUCUCAUCAACUGUUGGAGAAUCCAAGAACACAGCAAGAUCUGAAAACAGGGUCAUUCUGUUAGCUAGGAAUGAACUGUGGUAUUUAGACUGGGCCUCAAUAACUAGUUUCCAGGUUUGCUGCCAAAAUUGAAGCUUAGGAUGUCUGCAAAUACUAAGCAUCUCACAGUGGCAUUGAGCAUGUGUGUUCUUACAUAAGAUCUGUUCCCAUGCCUCUAUUGCCUACUACACCAUGGAUGCCUAUCAAAGCUAAAUACAUACCAGAGCAAUCUCUGGCUGACACUUAGUUGUCUCUGGGGGUUUGCUUCUCGUUGGGAACUAUGAAAAGUACAGAGUUGAUCUUAUUAAUUAACCUGGAGGGUGUUUAGGAUGAAAUUAACACUUAAAAUGGUGACCUUUGAGCAUGUGGAUUAUGUUCCAUAGGUAGGUUUCAUCACUUAAUUGAAGGCUUGAAUAGAACCAAAAGAGAAGCCUCCCAAGCGAGCAGACUCCAUUCAGGCUUCAUGUGCACCUUCAGCUCCCCUGAAUCUCCACUUGCUGACCUUUGGACUUUAUCUGUGCACAGCUUCUCCUGAGUCUCUAGCUUGCCAGUCUACACUGAAGAGUUAGACUUGCCAGUCUUCUUAAUCACAUGUGCCAAUUUCUUACAAUAAAUCUCUUUCCAAUGUUCUGUGGUUGUGUUUCUCUGCAGAACCCUCACUAACCACAGAGAUACCAGUAAUCAUACUUCUAUCCAGAAUUUUGCAGCCUCCAGCUUCAGGUAAGCUCUCAGCUUUUAAUUCAAUUCUGUUUCUAGAAAACUCUCUGGAUCUACCUGAACAGAAAACCAAGUCAUGGAACAGUGAUGUUGCAGGCUUGCAGUCGCAGGAAUUAGAUGGUAUAUCUACUCCAAGAAUCCAUAAUACCAGAGACAUUGUCAUGACUCCUAGAGGUGGAAUCCAUUCAGUUUACAACAUUUAAGAUAAAUUCUUUACAUCCUCUGCCCAGCUUUUUAAAAAGUCACUUUUACUGGGAAACUGUAACCAGAAAGUUUUGAGUACCAGUAGUAUAAAUAUCACUCAUUUUUAAACUAUAUAUUUAUUUAUGGGAGGGAGAGAGAGAGAGAAUGAAUAUUCACUCCCAAAUCCUGCAACAGGGCUGAAGCUGGAAGCUCAUUCAGGUCUCCCAUAUAGGUGGCUGAGGCCCAAUUACUUGAGCCAUCACCACUGCCUCCAAGGGUAUGCAUUAGCAGCAAGCUGGAGUCAGGAGCAGAGUCAGGUUUUGAACCCAGGCAUUCUGAUAUCAGACAUGGACAUAAUUCCUAUGCCAAACACCCACCACCUGAAACUCCCUCUUAAAAAUCUUCUUGGACCAUCACCAUUACCCUUCUCAGGGUACCAUCUCUCCAUCCUUAGAAAUCAGAGACAGGUCACAUCUUUUUUU